rnacentral:rRNA from 1 species
GCAUAUCAAUAAGCGGAGGAAAAGAAACUAACAAGGAUUCCCCUAGUAACUGCGAGUGAAGCGGGAAAAGCUCAAAUUUAAAAUCUGGCGGUCUUUGGCCGUCCGAGUUGUAGUCUGGAGAAGUGUCUUCCGCGCUGGACCGUGUACAAGUCUCCUGGAACGGAGCGUCGUAGAGGGUGAGAAUCCCGUCUUUGACACGGACUACCAGUGCUUUGUGAUGCGCUCUCAAAGAGUCGAGUUGUUUGGGAAUGCAGCUCAAAAUGGGUGGUGAAUUCCAUCUAAAGCUAAAUAUUGGCGAGAGACCGAUAGCGAACAAGUACCGUGAGGGAAAGAUGAAAAGCACUUUGGAAAGAGAGUUAAACAGUACGUGAAAUUGCUGAAAGGGAAACGAUUGAAGUCAGUCGCGUCGUCCGGAACUCAGCCUUGCUUCGGCUCGGUGCACUUUCCGGUUGACGGGCCAGCAUCGAUUUUGACCGUCGGAAAAAGGUCGAGGGAAUGUGGCACCUUCGGGUGUGUUAUAGCCCUCGGUCACAUACGACGGUUGGGAUCGAGGAACUCAGCACGCCUUUAUGGUCGGGGUUCGCCCACGUAACGUGCUUAGGAUGCUGGCGUAAUGGCUUUAAACGACCCGUCUUGAAACACGGACCAAGGAGUCUAACAUGCCUGCGAGUGUUCGGGUGGAAAACCCGUGCGCGCAAUGAAAGUGAAAGUUGAGAUCCCUGUCGCGGGGAGCAUCGACGCCCGGCCCAGAAGUUUUCUGACGGUGCUGCGGUAGAGCAUGUAUGUUGGGACCCGAAAGAUGGUGAACUAUGCCUGAAUAGGGUGAAGCCAGAGGAAACUCUGGUGGAGGCUCGUAGCGAUUCUGACGUGCAAAUCGAUCGUCAAAUUUGGGUAUAGGGGCGAAAGACUAAUCGAACCAUCUAGUAGCUGGUUCCUGCCG